AAAACGGCCCUUUUCAGGGCCCCAUUUUAUCUGGGAGUAUGGCUAU
rfam:Zootermopsis nevadensis contig33100, whole genome shotgun sequence.